AAGGGAGACCUAAUUCCGGUAGGAGACGAAAAAAAAGUAGUCCCAACCAAGAAUCAAUCCCAAAAGGUCGGAACGAGGUAUGAGGCUUUCAAACUAGGUUCUGGGUUCAUAAAAGACCUGAAUCAGGGACAAGGGCUAUUAGCUCAGGUGGUUAGAGCGCACCCCUGAUAAGGGUGAGGUCCCUGGUUCGAGUCCAGGAUGGCCCACCUGCACAGGUGGCAAAAACAAGAGAAGCUCCGAAUCAGCACCUUAUCUUAUAUACAUAUAUAAGAGAGAAUGCUGGCUCUGAGUACAGAGUCCAGAGGAACCUUGAAAACUGCAUAGAGCUAGGUGAAAAAGCCAAAAAAGAAGACCGCAA
rnacentral:tRNA from 1 species